rnacentral:rRNA from 1 species
GGCGAACGCUGGCGGCGUGCUUAACACAUGCAAGUCGAACGGAAAGACCCUGCUUUUGUGGGGUGCUCGAGUGGCGAACGGGUGAGUAACACGUGAGUAACCUGCCCUUGACUUUGGGAUAACUUCAGGAAACUGGGGCUAAUACCGGAUAGGAGCUCCUGCUGCAUGGUGGGGGUUGGAAAGUUUCGGCGGUUGGGGAUGGACUCGCGGCUUAUCAGCUUGUUGGUGGGGUAGUGGCUUACCAAGGCUUUGACGGGUAGCCGGCCUGAGAGGGUGACCGGCCACAUUGGGACUGAGAUACGGCCCAGACUCCUACGGGAGGCAGCAGUGGGGAAUAUUGCACAAUGGGCGGAAGCCUGAUGCAGCAACGCCGCGUGCGGGAUGACGGCCUUCGGGUUGUAAACCGCUUUCGCCUGUGACGAAGCGGGAGUGACGGUAAUGGGUAAAGAAGCACCGGCUAACUACGUG